UACAGAGGGUGCAAGCGUUAAUCGGAGUUACUGGGCGUAAAGGGCGCGUAGGCGGUUAUACAAGUGAGAUGUGAAAGCCCUGGGCUUAACCUAGGAAUAGCAUUUCAAACGGUGUGACUAGAGGACAGUAGAGGGUGGUGGAAUUUCCGGUGUAGCGGUGAAAUGCGUAGAGAUCGGAAGGAACAUCAGUGGCGAAGGCGACCACCUGGACUGUAACUGACGCUGAGGCGCGAAAGCGUGGGGAGCAAACAGG
rnacentral:rRNA from 1 species